AUGGGCAGUGGAUCAAACCCUUACCUGGGCCUUUCCCUGUGGCUCUUGGUCAUCUUUGGACAUGUGUUUGUGGUCACAGAGCAUUUUUCUGUGCUACCCCCUGCUCCAGGGGUAGCAGUUGAUGGGGAGCAGUGCAACCCCCAUAGCACUCCCCAGAACGGUGCUAUUACCAUCCCAGCUGUGGCCCAAGAUAAGGGUUUCUGGCUGUGUUCACCAGUGCCCAGAUCUGGGCUGGCUGUGCCCCAACUCCAUUUUUCCUCCCUGCAGCACCUUGUGGUGGGGCUGGAAAGGGGGAAGUCACACUGCUGGAGCCAGCGGGAAGGCAGGAUGGGGAAAUUUGGUGUCUGCACUGGUUUGGAGAUGGGCACAGCUGAUGGAUGCAGGCCUUGUUCUGGGAGUGUUGCUUACAGCACCUUUUGUAGUUUCAGGUUCACUGGGAUAGGCAGUGGCUGUGCCUGUCCUGCUCCCAGACCAAUUCGUUCCGGACUGGAGCAGUCUGUGCAGCCAAGGCCUCACGGGGCAAGGCAGGGUGUGCGAUGGGCUGAAUUCCACUUUUACCACUUGGCAAAAAGUGAACAGCACAGGGACAGCCGGGCAGCUUUUGGGAACUGCAGAAGACCCCAGCUGGGCUGUGGGGCUGUGGUUUUGGCUGACGCAAGCCAGCAGAGCCUGGUUGCUCACAGGCAUCGUGUGCUGCCUACCUACAGUCAGGCCCAGGCUGCCUUCAGCCCAGGAGCUCUGUUUUGGGCCCUGCCAGCUGCCAAGCAAGAGCUCCUGCCAAUGAGCUCCUUAAUGGGAUUGCCUCAGCACAGGUGCAGAUUAGCAGGGCUCCUCCAGCACGCACAAAACUUUCCCUCAAAGGAAACCAAUGUUCUUGGUUACAAAAGGUCUGUGCCGAGCAGUGCCAUGCUCCUGGGUGUGUUGUUGCCACUUCCUGGUACUGCUGAGCUGCCUUCAGACAUCGCCAAGCCGCCGCAUGGGCCCAUGGAGGAGCCUUACCAGGGCCAUCCCUGGGAUUUAACUGCCCCAAGCCCCAUCUGGAACCCCCGGAGCUGCACUUUGUGCUGUGGAGGUGCCACCUCUGCCCCCAUCUGCAGCUCUGCGGGUGGGCACCUGACACGAUCCAUCCCCUGA
rnacentral:lncRNA from 1 species